AACAAUGUUAUCACCCUAUUCAAAGGAUUGAAAGAGUCUUGUUUGGAGUUGUGUGGGGUUGAAUAAUUAUGUUUGUAAUAUUUCAGAAGUUGGCAGAAAAAGAAAAAAAUAGAAAAGAAAAAAAAAAGAAUGAAAAAAUAGAAGGAUAAGAGGAAGAAAAAAAGGAAUUAUGUUUGUAAUAUUUCAAUACAUACUCCUUCAAAAAAAUGAAUAAAAAGAGGAAGGAGAAGAGAAAACAAUUGUUAUAGAGUU
rnacentral:lncRNA from 1 species